rnacentral:rRNA from 1 species
AUUGAACGCUGGCGGCAGGCCUAACACAUGCAAGUCGAGCGGAGCGGCGGACGGGUGCGUAUUGCCUAUGAUUCUGCCUGGAACUGGGGGAUAACGUUCGGAAACGGGCGCUAAUACCGAAUACACUCAGCUGAGCCUAGGUCGGAUUAGCUAGUUGGUGGUGUAAAGGCCUACCAAGACGACGCUCCGUACCUGGUCUGAGAGGAUGAUCAGUCACACGGGAACUGAGACACGGUCCAGACUCCUACGGGAGGCAGCAGUGGGGAAUAUUGGACAAUGGGCGAAAGCCUGAUCCAGCCAUGCCGCGUGAGUGAAGAAGGUCUUCGGAUUGUAAAGCACUUUAAGUUGGGAGGCGUUACCAACAGAAUAAGCACCGGCUAACUUCGUGCCAGCCGCCGCGGUAAUUC